rnacentral:rRNA from 1 species
GGCUUGUCUCAAAGAUUAAGCCAUGCAUGUCUAAGCAUAAGCCGAUUAAUGGUGAAGCCGCGAAUAGCUCAUUACAACAGCCAUAGUUUAUUGGAUCUUCUCUCUACUUGGAUACCUGUGGUAAUUCUAGAGCUAAUACACGCAACAAAACCCUGACUUCGGAAGGGGUGCAUUUAUUAGAACAAAACCAAUCGGGCUUGCCCGUCGUUUGGUGAAUCUGAAUAACUCAGCGGAUCGCACGGUCUCGCACCGGCGACGUAUCUUUCAAGUGUCUGCCUUAUCAACUGUCGAUGGUAGUUUAUAUGACUACCAUGGUUGUAACGGGUAACGGAGAAUAAGGGUUCGACUCCGGAGAGGGAGCCUGAGAAACGGCUACCACAUCCAAGGAAGGCAGCAGGCGCGCAAAUUACCCACUCUCAGCUCGAGGAGGUAGUGACGAAAAAUAACGAGACGCUUCUCUAUGAGGUGCGUCAUCGGAAUGGGUACAAUUUAAACCCUUAACGAGGAUCUAUGNUCAUUNGNNNC